GACGAACGCUGGCGGCGUGCUUAACACAUGCAAGUCGAACGGGCCUUGUCCCCUUUUUUUUUGGGGGUGGGGUUAGUGGCGAACGGGUGAGUAACACGUGAGUAACCUGCCCCUCACUUCUGGAUAACCGCUUGAAAGGGUGGCUAAUACGGGGUGUUCUGGCCUGCUCGCAUGGGUGGGUUUGGAAAGAUUCGACCGGUUUGGUUGUUUUGGUGGGGGAUGGGCUCGCGGCCUAUCAGCUUGUUGGUGGGGUGAUGGCCUGCCAAGGCUUUGACGGGUAGCCGGCCUGAGAGGGUGGGCGGUCACACUGGGACUGAGACACGGCCCAGACUCCUACGGGAGGCAGCAGUGGGGAAUAUUGCACAAUGGGCGCAAGCCUGAUGCAGCGACGCCGCGUGAGGGAUGGAGGCCUUCGGGUUGUGAACCUCUUUCGCCAGUGAAGAAGGUCCUGCUCCUUGUGGUGGGGUUGACGGUAGCUGGGUUAAUGAAGCGCCGGCUAACUACGUG
rnacentral:rRNA from 1 species